GUUAGGAAUAUUGGACAAUGGACGCAAGUCUGAUCCAGCCAUGCCGCGUGAGUGAUGAAGGCCUUCGGGUUGUAAAGCUCUUUAGCCGAUGAUUAUAAUGACUGUAGUCGGAAAAUAAGCCCCGGCUAACUUCGUGCCAGCAGCCGCGGUAAUACGAAGGGGGCGAGCGUUAUUCGGAAUCACUGGGCGUAAAGCGUGCGUAGGCGGCUUUGCAAGUUGGGAGUGAAAGCCCAGGGCUCAACCCUGGAAUUGCUCUCAAAACUGCAAGGCUCGAAUUCGGGAGAGGAUAGCGGAAUUGUCAGUGUAGCAGUGAAAUGCGUAGAUAUUGACAGGAACACCAGUGGCGUAAGCGGCUAUCUGGACCGAUAUUGACGCUGAGGCACGAAAGCGUGGGGAUCAAACAGGAUUAGAAACCCCAGUAGUCC
rnacentral:rRNA from 1 species